rnacentral:rRNA from 1 species
UACGGAGGUGGCAAGCGUUGUUCGGAAUUACUGGGCGUAAAGGGCGCGUAGGCGGCAAGGCAAGUCAGGUGUGAAAGCCCCGAGCUUAACUCGGGAAUUGCAUCUGAAACUGCUGUGCUUGAGUUCUGGAGGGGGUAGUGGAAUUCCCAGUGUAGCGGUGAAAUGCGUAGAUAUUGGGAGGAACACCUGGCGGCGAAGGCGGCUACCUGGACAGAAACUGACG